rnacentral:rRNA from 1 species
GAUGAACGCUGGCGGCGUGCCUAAUACAUGCAAGUCGAGCGAACAGACGAGGAGCUUGCUCCUCUGACGUUAGCGGCGGACAGGUGAGUAACACGUGGAUAACCUACCUAUAAGACUGGGAUAACUUCGGGAAACCGGAGCUAAUACCGGAUAAUAUAUUGAACCGCAUGGUUCAAUAGUGAAAGACGGUUUUGCUGUCACUUAUAGAUGGAUCCGCGCCGCAUUAGCUAGUUGGUAAGGUAACGGCUUACCAAGGCAACGAUGCGUAGCCGACCUGAGAGGGUGAUCGGCCACACUGGAACUGAGACACGGUCCAGACUCUUACGGGAGGCAGCAGUAGGGAAUCUUCCGCAAUGGGCGAAAGCCUGACGGAGCAACGCCGCGUGAGUGAUGAAGGUCUUCGGAUCGUAAAACUCUGUUAUUAGGGAAGAACAAAUGUGUAAGUAACUAUGCACGUCUUGACGGUACCUAAUCAGAAAGCCACGGCUAACUACGUG